rnacentral:rRNA from 1 species
GUGCCAGCAGCCGCGGUAAUACGAAGGGGGCUAGCGUUGCUCGGAAUCACUGGGCGUAAAGGGUGCGUAGGCGGGUUUUUAAGUCAGAGGUGAAAUCCUGGAGCUCAACUCCAGAACUGCCUUUGAUACUGAGAAUCUUGAGUAUGGGAGAGGUGAGUGGAACUGCGAGUGUAGAGGUGAAAUUCGUAGAUAUUCGCAAGAACACCAGUGGCGAAGGCGGCUCACUGGCCCAUAACUGACGCUGAGGCACGAAAGCGUGGGGAGCAAACAGGAUUAGAUACCCUCGUAGUCC